rnacentral:rRNA from 1 species
GACGUAGGAGGCGAGCGUUGUCCGGAUUCAUUGGGCGUAAAGAGCACGCAGGCGGUUUGGCAAGUCGGAUGUGAAAACCCGAAGCUCAACUUCGGGCCUGCAUCCGAAACUGCCCGACUAGAGGUAGGUAGGGGAGAUCGGAAUUCCUGGUGUAGCGGUGAAAUGCGUAGAUAUCUGAAGGAACACCAGUGGCGAAGGCGGCUUUCUGGCCUAUUCUUGACGCUGAGGCGCGAAAGCUAGGGGAGCGAACGGG